rnacentral:rRNA from 1 species
GACGAACGCUGGCGGCGUGCCUAAUACAUGCAAGUUGAGCGCUGAAGGUUGGUACUUGUACCGACUGGAUGAGCAGCGAACGGGUGAGUAACGCGUGGGGAAUCUGCCUUUGAGCGGGGGACAACAUUUGGAAACGAAUGCUAAUACCGCAUAAAAACUUUAAACACAAGUUUUAAGUUUGAAAGAUGCAAUUGCAUCACUCAAAGAUGAUCCCGCGUUGUAUUAGCUAGUUGGUGAGGUAAAGGCUCACCAAGGCGAUGAUACAUAGCCGACCUGAGAGGGUGAUCGGCCACAUUGGGACUGAGACACGGCCCAAACUCCUACGGGAGGCAGCAGUAGGGAAUCUUCGGCAAUGGACGAAAGUCUGACCGAGCAACGCCGCGUGAGUGAAGAAGGUUGUCGGAUCGUAAAACUCUGUUGGUAGAGAAGAACGUUGGUGGGAGUGGAAAGCUCAUCAAGUGACGGUAACUACCCAGAAAGGGACGGCUAACUACGUG